GCGAACGGGUGAGUAACACGUGGGUAAUCUGCCCUGCACUCUGGGAUAAGCCUUGGAAACGAGGUCUAAUACCGGAUAUCACCUCUCUCCGCAUGGAGGGUGGUUGAAAGUUCCGGCGGUGCAGGAUGAACCCGCGGCCUAUCAGCUUGUUGGUGGGGUAAUGGCCUACCAAGGCGACGACGGGUAGCCGGCCUGAGAGGGUGACCGGCCACACUGGGACUGAGACACGGCCCAGACUCCUACGGGAGGCAGCAGUGGGGAAUAUUGCACAAUGGGCGAAAGCCUGAUGCAGCGACGCCGCGUGAGGGAUGACGGCCUUCGGGUUGUAAACCUCUUUCGCCAGGGACGAAGCGCAAGUGACGGUACCUGGAUAAGAAGCACCGGCUAACUACGUGCCAGCAGCCGCGGUAAUACGUAGGGUGCGAGCGUUGUCCGGAUUUAUUGGGCGUAAAGAGCUCGUAGGCGGUUUGUCGCGUCGGCUGUGAAAUCUGGAGGCUUAACCUUCAGCGUGCAGUCGAUACGGGCAGACUUGAGUUCGGUAGGGGAGACUGGAAUUCCUGGUGUAGCGGUGAAAUGCGCAGAUAUCAGGAGGAACACCGGUGGCGAAGGCGGGUCUCUGGGCCGAUACUGACGCUGAGGAG
rnacentral:rRNA from 1 species